rnacentral:rRNA from 1 species
UACGGGGGGGGCAAGCGUUGUUCGGAAUUACUGGGCGUAAAGGCUCGUAGGUGGCCAACUAAGUCAGACGUGAAAUCCCUCAGCUUAACUGGGGAACUGCGUCUGAUACUGGAUGGCUUGAGUUUGGGAGAGGGAUGCGGAAUUCCAGGUGUAGCGGUGAAAUGCGUAGAUAUCUGGAGGAACACCGGUGGCGAAGGCGGCAUCCUGGACCGGUAUUGACGCUGAGGCGCGAAAGCUAGGGGAGCAAACGGG